rnacentral:rRNA from 1 species
CAUUACACAAAUAUGAAGGCGGGCUGGAAUCCCUCGGGGUUACAGCCUUGCUGAAUUAUUCACCCUUGUCUUUUGCGUACUUCUUGUUUCCUUGGUGGGUUCGCCCACCACUAGGACAAACAUAAACCUUUUGUAAUUGCAAUCAGCGUCAGUAACAAAUUAAUAAUUACAACUUUCAACAACGGAUCUCUUGGUUCUGGCAUCGAUGAAGAACGCAGCGAAAUGCGAUAAGUAGUGUGAAUUGCAGAAUUCAGUGAAUCAUCGAAUCUUUGAACGCACAUUGCGCCCUUUGGUAUUCCAAAGGGCAUGCCUGUUCGAGCGUCAUUUGUACCCUCAAGCUUUGCUUGGUGUUGGGCGUCUUGUCUCUAGCUUUGCUGGAGACUCGCCUUAAAGUAAUUGGCAGCCGGCCUACUGGUUUCGGAGCGCAGCACAAGUCGCACUCUCUAUCAGCAAAGGUCUAGCAUCCAUUAAGCCUUUUUUCAACUUUUGACCUCGGAUCAGGUAGGGAUACCCGCU